rnacentral:rRNA from 1 species
CAAUAGCGUAUAUUUAAGUUGCUGCAGUUAAAAAGCUCGUAGUUGGAUUUCGGGUGGGAAUGGCCGGUCCGCCGUUUCGGUGUGCACUUGCUACGCCCACCUUGCUGCCGGGGACGUGCUCUUGAGUUCACGCUCGGGACACGGAGUCGGCGAGGUUACUUUGAGUAAAUUAGAGUGUUCAAAGCAGGCCUACGCUCUGAAUACAUUAGCAUGGAAUAACACGAUAGGACUCUGGCCUAUCUUGUUGGUCUGUAGGACCGGAGUAAUGAUUAAGAGGGACAGUCGGGGGCAUUCGUAUUUCAUUGUCAGAGGUGAAAUUCUUGGAUUAUCGGAAGACGAACAUCUGCGAAAGCAUUUGCCAAGGAUGUUUUCAUUAA